rnacentral:rRNA from 1 species
GACGAACGCUGGCGGCGUGCUUAACACAUGCAAGUCGAGCGGUAAGGCUCCUUCGGGAGUACACGAGCGGCGAACGGGUGAGUAACACGUGAGCAAUCUGCCCUUCACUUCGGGAUAACUCCGGGAAACCGGUGCUAAUACCGAAUACGACCACUUCAGGCAUCUGAUGGUGGUGGAAAGUUCCGGCGGUGAAGGAUGAGCUCGCGGCCUAUCAGCUUGUUGGUGGGGUAAGGCCCACCAAGGCAACGACGGGUAGCCGGCCUGAGAGGGUGACCGGCCACACUGGGACUGAGACACGGCCCAGACUCCUACGGGAGGCAGCAGUGGGGAAUAUUGGACAAUGGGCGAAAGCCUGAUCCAGCAACGCCGCGUGAGGGAUGAC